rnacentral:rRNA from 1 species
CCUACGGGUGGCUGCAGUGGGGAAUAUUGCACAAUGGGGGAAACCCUGAUGCAGCGAUGCCGCGUGAGUGAAGAAGUUUUUCGGUAUGUAAAGCUCUAUCAGCAGGGACGAAAAUGACGGUACCUGAUUAAGAAGCCCCGGCUAACUACGUGCCAGCAGCCGCGGUAAUACGUAGGGGGCAAGCGUUAUCCGGAUUUACUGGGUGUAAAGGGAGCGUAGGCGGAAGCGCAAGUCUGAGGUGAAAUGCCGGGGCUUAACCCCGGAACUGCUUUGGAAACUGUGCAGCUAGAGUGAAGGAGAGGUAAGUGGAAUGCCUAGUGUAGCGGUGAAAUGCGUAGAUAUUAGGAGGAACACCAGUGGCGAAGGCGGCUUACUGGACUGUAACUGACGCUGAGGCUCGAAAGCGUGGGGAGCAAACAGGAUUAGAUACCCGUGUAGUC